rnacentral:rRNA from 1 species
UACGAAGGGGCUAGCGUUGCUCGGAAUCACUGGGCGUAAAGGGUGCGUAGGCGGGUCUUUAAGUCAGGGUGAAAUCCUGGAGCUCAACUCCAGAACUGCCCUUUGAUACUGAAGAUCUUGAGUUCGGGAGAGGUGAGUGGAACUGCGAAGUGUAGAGGUGAAUUCGAUAGAUAUUGCAAGAACACCAGUGGCGAAGGCGGCUCACUGGCCCGAUACUGACGCUGAGGCACGAAAGCGUGGG